rnacentral:rRNA from 1 species
UUCGGCGGCCAUAGCGGCGGGGAAACGCCCGGCUCCAUUCCGAACCCGGAAGCUAAGCCCGCCUGCGCCGAUGGUACUGCCCGGGGGACCGGGUGGGAGAGUAGGACGCCGCCGGAC